rnacentral:rRNA from 1 species
UACGAAGGGGGCUAGCGUUGCUCGGAAUCACUGGGCGUAAAGCGCACGUAGGCGGAUUGUUAAGUCAGGGGUGAAAUCCUGGAGCUCAACUCCAGAACUGCCUUUGAUACUGGCGAUCUUGAGUCCGGGAGAGGUGAGUGGAACUGCGAGUGUAGAGGUGAAAUUCGUAGAUAUUCGCAAGAACACCAGUGGCGAAGGCGGCUCACUGGCCCGGUACUGACGCUGAGAAGCGAAAGCAUGGGGAGCGAACAGG